GGGUCAGUAGGUUGGUCGUGCCACCGGUACGUACUGGUCUCACUGAUUCCUCCUUCCUGAAGAACCAUAAUGCCAUUAAUUUGGUGUUGCGGGGAAACAGGACCGUUACUUUGAAAAAAUUAGAGUGUUUAACGCAAGCUAACGCUUGAAUACAUUAGCAUGGAAUAAUGAAAUAGGACGAUCGAUCCUAUUUUGUUGGUUUCUAGGAUUGACGUA
rnacentral:rRNA from 1 species